AAUUGGAGGGCACCCAGGGAAGGAGUCAGGUAGAAAGAGACUUCUCAGGGAAGGAAUCAUGAUGGAAGAGUUAGGUUUCUAGAGAGAGGAGCCUAAAGCAGGAAGAUAGUCAAGACCUGAGGGCCAGAGAGUAAAGGCAGGCAAACAGCUGGGAGUGGAGGGCUAAGCACCUUUGGAGCUGGAAGCUGAGAGCCCAGAGGGAGAAAGCUGGUGGGUCAGCACAGGAGCCUGCCUGUAGUGCAUUUUUCCAGGGAGUUGCCCAGAGACCGAACAUCCAGGUAUAAGCAAUAACCAGAGCCAACAUCCACUAAGAGAAGAAAGGACUUCCAAAGGCAUUCAGCAUCUAACCUAUGAGGGUGUUUAGCUACCUGGAGGACCAGGAAGAUGGCAUCAGAAUAAAAGAUGUAUUCCUACAACACCCAAUGAAGAUAAAAUGAAGUACCAGAAACAUCCCUGAAUCU